rnacentral:rRNA from 1 species
AAACCAACAGGGAUUGCCUUAGUAACGGCGAGUGAAGCGGCAAAAGCUCAAAUUUGAAAGCCUUCUUUCCAUUUUUUAAAAGGAAAAAGGCGUUGUAAUUUGAAGACUGAGCAUUUGAAAUAAAUUUUUUGCCUUAAGUUGCUUGGAACAGCACUUUAUCAUAGAGGGUGAUAAUCCCGUGUGGGUAAAAAUUUAUUUUAUAAUAUUGCUCAUGUCCAAGAGUCGAGUUGUUUGGGAAUGCAGCUCUAAUUGGGUGGUAAACUCCAUCUAAAGCUAAAUAUUGACGAGAGACCGAUAGCGAACAAGUACUGUGAAGGAAAGAUGAAAAGAACUUUGAAAAGAGAGUGAAAAAGUAUGUGAAAUUGUUGAAAGGGAAGGGAAAAGUUGGAGUCUUAUCGAAUUUUAAACAUCCUAAAAAAAUGUUUUGUCGAUGGGUCAAUUAUCAGGGAUAACUGAAAGACAAAAUAAUCAAUGUUAAAAUUUAUUUUUGGUGUUGGUUAGUUAAUAUUUCGGAUGGAUUCCUAUUAAUUGACAUAAUGCAACUUCUCCAC